GCCUUCACUCUGCUGGGGCCAGUCAAGGCUGGCUAGAUGGCGCUGAGAACCUGAUGGUGGUUCAGAGGAGGCCAGCGCCAUUUAGGUGAGAUCUUCUGGGCGUAUUUCCUCAGGGUCAGGGCACAGAAGCCGUGGUUCAGAGGGUGCCAAGGCUGUGCCUGGUGCUGGCAGAGCUUAGAAAUGUGCAAGAGUUUGCCAGGUGGUACUGGCUUGGAAGGGACGAAGGCGUCCUAGAGAGCAGCCAAGGCUCAGCACUGUGAGAGACCAGGAGAGGCCACUGGGAAGAAGCAGCCUCGGUAGCUGUAAAAGCCCCAGGAUUAAAGGAGUAAUGGAGAGAUGCUGAGACUUAGUGCCGAGUGACAGUCCGUGUAAAGAGCACCGGAUGAGAGUCCAGGAUAGGCUGAAGGUGCAGCCCGUUUUAAUACAGAUCCCAGCAUACUGGAAAUGCCAGUAUCGUGGGAUGGCCAACAGGGGCAGUAGCCAUCCUGUGAUGUGGAUGGAGUCAUCCUGAGCCUUCAAGUCAAACUGUACUCGUGGCAGGUGGCAAAGCCAGAGAAAUCGAGCCCUUUGGGAUCCACAGCAUCAUGGGAUCCACAGGAUCAUGGGAUCCACAGAAUCAUGAGUGUGCACCAGCCAUCCCGCACUGAACUUUUUCACUGUUGGAUUUAAGUUUAGCUUUGGUCUGAUUGUGACCGGGCUGACUGUGUGACUGGUUUUUCACUCUUAGAGUAAAAAGAAAAGUAUUUAACUUAUUUCUUCAUUUUAAGGAACCACAAUUGAGAGACUGAAAUCUUAGACUUUGAAUAUUUUAGAGAAACUAGAUAUCUAGAGAUACUUUGGAUAAAUUUAAGACUCUGAACUUCUGGUUGUUUUAAAGAGACUAUCGUGGGUUAUGUUUUUGUUUUUCAAGAAACAGUCUCUCUGUGUAAUAGCCCUAACUGUCCUGGAACUCUCUUUGUAAACCAGGCUGAGUUCAAACUCACAAAGAUCUUGCCUGACUCAACCUCAAGGGCUGGGAUUAAAGGCGUGAGCCACUACACCUAACCUGCGACUGAACUUUUAAAGACUACGGAACUUUUAAAAGUUGGAGUGUUUUACGUUGUGAUAUUGAUACUAAUAUGAGAUCUUGGGGAAGAGCAAGAAAUAAAAGCUGAUGUGAUCUAUUUGUAUGCCAAGUUGACGAGGGGUCGACGGUGCUGUUAUCUGUCAGCUUGAGACAUGCCUAGACAGACUGGGAAGACAGACUCUUAAUUAAGAAAACACCUCCAUCAGAUUGGCCUGUAGCUCCUGCCUCCGGUUUCUGCCACAACAUCCUCUCGGUGAUGGACUAUCACUUAGAAGUGUUAGCUGAAAUAAAUCCUUUCCUCCACCAAAUUCUUUGUCAUGAUGCUUACCACAAUAGCAGAAACCCUAGCUAAGAUACCUCCUAAAGUCGUCUUCCCAAGUCCUCAUAUGCAUUGGCAUUCUAACUAGUUUUACUAAAUAAAUGGUCACAACCUGAA